AUUUUGGGGGUCCCUGCUCCAGUUUGGGAUAGAACCGUCCAUUGCAGAUUUUGGGGGGGAGGUUUUGGGGGGCCUCAGGUGAUUUUUGGGGUCCCUCAGGUGCGUUUCGGCCCCCCCCGUGCCAGCGCCGGGUGGAACUGUCCCGGGUGGAACUGUCCAUUACCGAUCCGGGGGGGUUCCAGGUGAAUUUCAGGGUUCCAGAUGCGUUUCGGCC